CAUCAAUUAUGACUUUUUGAAAAUCUUAAAUUAAGAAACAUUAACAAAACAUUUACUAACCAUUCAAAUGAAAUGGUUACAUCUGAGAUGUGUAGCCUUACACAAAUGAUAAGACCUAAUUAACAAAAAUAAAGUUGUGUUUCUAUUAUUUUGGCCAUGGCUGUAUCUAAACCACAACACAAACGAAACCACACACAAAAUAUUUCUGCAGCAAACCAUCAAUUAGUAAAGGAUUUAAAACACUUGGCAUCCCUGAAGAAGACUUUUGCUAAAUGUUUUGCUAAAUUAAUGCAAAUUUUCUUUCCCACAUGUGAAACCAAAAAAAAAAGAAAAAUCUUUUAAAAAUAACAACAAAUGGACUCGGAAAAGUAGGCUAUAUAAAUAUAUAUGUACCUAACAAAUAAUAUUUGUAAACAAAAAAAGAAUUUACUUAAAUGAAUCAUAAAUGAAAAAUUAUUUCAUGGUGAUAACAAAAGGAAAUAAAUUAUUUAGAAAAAGAAAAACAUCGACGUUUUUUUUUUUUAAAUUCUUAAGAAUAAACCAAGAAGAAUAUAAUUUGAGUAUAUUUUGGGAUUUUCCAAUAGCUCAGCUGCUGCGGCUGCUGCUGCUUCUGCUGUGUUGCGAUGGCAUUCCUUCGCACAUUUCCACAGAAAACACAAGACAAAUUUAAAUGCAGACACACGUUGGGAUUUGGGAAUUUAGAACACGACGUCGACUUCGAAGACGAAACGGACCGUUUGAAUACAUUAAGGCCACAACAGAUGAAUAAUAUUGUGCAAUUAAAAUUAAUCUUUUUUAUUUUCUUAAUUUUAUUCUUUGGUUUCUUUAUCUCUUUAAGUUUUAGUUUAAAGAGGACUAUAACUGUCACUCACUUUAUAUAUAAAAAUAUAACAUAAAAUGCAUUUUAUUUUUAA